rnacentral:misc_RNA from 1 species
GUGAAAUAUCGUCGGCUGUGCGCCCUCGGGCUGCACGCCGUCGCUCCACACAUUUGUGCACCUUCGACGGGAGGGGGAGACCUCUCUCGUCGCUUCAUUAACAAGUCAGUCUUGAAUGUAAACGUAUCAUAAAAAAUA